CCAACUGAGGAGCAAGAAACCCUCACCAAAUCCAAUCCCCCGGAAGCGAGAGUCAUGCCCGAUUCCGCCGAUCUCCUGCCCUCCCAAACCUCCCAGCCCCCGCAGGAAGCCUCUACCGCCUCCGUCAACCCCGAUCCGGACAUGCCUCCUCGGAGAUCCCACGGCGGCAGCAAACUCAAGAAGCCCCUCACCGGAAAGCUCCGCGCCGCCGCCGAGCGCCUCGCGAACCUCCGCGCCCACCUCCGUCUCCACCCGCUGGAUCCCCCGCCCUGCUCCCUCUCGGCCGCCGCCUCGCCUCACGAGGCCGCCCUCCGUUCCCUCGGUCUCCUCGACUUCGCGCGGCUCGACCUCGAAUCACAGCCCCCGCGCCCCGAUCUCGUCGCGCAGCUCAUCGCCUAUUACGACCCGUCGCAGCACCGCAGCUUCGUCUUGGGGAACGUCCGCCUCGGUAUCAGCCGUACGGACUUGGUCCGCGCGCUCUCCCUCCCACCCAAGCCGGCCUCCACGGCUCCCCCUCCCGACGUGGACCCGGCCGCGGUGAUCUCCGCCGUCCUGGAGUUCAUGCAGUCGUAUAUCCUUCCCCCGUUCCAGGGCGAUGACAUGUGCAUACUGCUGCAGGAGGUGGCCUCAGCGGAACAGGCGGUCAAGGAUGGGUCGGCGCAUAGGGUUGACUGGGCCGGGCUGAUCUGGGGACUCGUUGAGAAGGAGAUUCUGGAGGUGCCCAAGAGGGAUGAUGGGGUGUGCUACUACUGGCCAUAUCUUCAAAGGCUCAUUUCGACACAGAAGCCCAAUCUAUUCCAAGUGGUGAAGGAAGAAGAGAGAGGGGAGGUUGCCCUGGAGGUGUCUGCGGACACGGAGAUGGAUGAGGAGGAUGGUGAUGCGGAUGCCAUGAGCAAGAACUUGGAGUUGGGCCUAAUGGAUGCUGAUGCUGAUGUGAGGAGCAAGAUAAUGGAGGAAUCAGGAUUUGAGUUGGUGGAUGAAGUUGCGAGGGACAAAAUCUUGGAGGAACCAGAGAUAGAGGGUGCAGCUUUGGCGAGCAAUAACUUGGAGGAGUUGGAGGAAGGGGAUGUUGAUGUUAGGAGCAAGAGCAUGGAGGAACUGGAGUUGGGAGUUGUGGAUGUGGCCGCUAAUGCGAGGAGUAAGAUAUCAUUGGAGACACCGAAUAAUGGCACGAGCUUCGAUGACUCAAAGGCGGGGGAUGAGUUGGAGCUGGGGCUUGUUUCAUUGGAAGCAGUAACUGUUACGCAUCAGAUGCUGACUUCUAAUGAUGAGGUUUCAGCAGAGUGGGAGGGAGAUGAAGAUGCAUCUCGUGGCGCAGCAGAGAAGGACGCAAGCCCAUUAGCGGAGAUGAAAGAGGAUGAGAAGUCAGAUGGGGAAGAAGAGAAGGACACGACUGGGUUGAGCUUGGGGAUUAGCUCUGUCAAUGAUUAUGACAGUAGGGAUGCGGAAGAGAAUGCAUCUGUGGAAAAUCUGGAUGUGGACGAUAGUGAUAAUGAGGAGGCGAAGGAGUCGGAGGAUGAUGCAUUCGUGGGGUAUCGGGGUGGAGUGGACAUGGAUUUGGCGAUUGGGGAUGAUAAGGGGGACGAGGGAACAACACAGUUUUCACAGCAAUAUGACCAGCACACAUUUCGGAUGGAGUUCGAGAAUUUGAAUAAAGGGGAUAUUGGGAUGAGGAAUGAGGUAAGCUUUGAUGAUGGAUUCUCUGUGAAAAUGGGAUCCUUAAAUGGGAUGCAAUCAACAGACCUCCUUCAUGCGAUGAACUCAAUUCCCUCGACGUACAAGGUAUGGAAAAUACGUAUGACCUGUCCUCUGGAGAAUUCUUGGCUAUGGGUGCUGAUGCACAUAAGAAUGGAAUGGACAUGGGUCCCGGGAGCUCAAUUUUUGGUGGGAAUAAUGGGAAGAGGCACAUCGGGGAAAUUGAUGGGUGCAAUGACCAUAUGCAAGAACAACCGCAGUUUUCAUUGGGCAGUCAGCAGAAGCGGAUGCAGAACUGCAACGAUAGUAGUGUACCACCUGGAUCAUCAGUCUUCAAUACAAAUAUUGCAGGACCCAUACAGAACUUGAUGCUAGAGGCUAGCAUGCUCUAUGAACAGAAAGAUAGAGCGCUUCAAGAUGUGCUAUUAGAGAAGCAACACUUGGUUAACUUGCUAGAUGAGAAGGACGCAAUUAUCCAUUCCAUGGACUCAGCCAGGUUUGAGCAAGAGAAUAAGCGGAAAGAAGAUCUUAGGCGCUUUGAGCAUGAUCUGAAUGAGAUGGGCAAGUUGGUCAGUGGCUAUAAGGCAGCUUUGAAACAUACCGCUGCCUCUUUCUUUGAGUACAGGAAGAAGUUCCCUUGUAACAAGUUCCGUUAUCACGAUGUUGCUGGUGGCGGUGGCCUUGUUCUUGGUGUCAAGGAGUUGGAGAGGAACCGGUUGAAGGAAGAGGAGCGAAACCUUGCUGCAGCAAAUGAGAUGAUACAUUUUUUUGAGCUCGAAUGGUUUUCAAAGAUUGAUAAGUGGACAGAGCGUCUCAAUCUUCUGUGCAGCAAAAUGGAAGGACUCGCUAGGGAUAUUCAUUUUCUCAAGGAAAAAAGAAAAGCAAAGGUUGCAACCCCGGCUACAGAAGAAUGACUUCUCUAUAGUUAAAGGUUCUGAUGGCAAGGUGGGGAUGUUUAUGGCAAGAUUCUCAUGGCAAGGUGGGGAUGCUUAUGGCAAGUUCUGAUGGCAAGGUGGGGAUGUUUAUGGCAAGGUGGGGAGCUCUUUUGGAUAAACGCACACAUCCUUUGGACGUCUUCAUGUCAACAGUGAGCGCGAAUCAGCAAUCGUGGCAACCUCAUGUGCAUUGUAGACUCUAGACUUUAGUAUACAUUACUUUACUAUCCACCUGUGACUGAAGGGUAUCGUCACACAAGGACGCUUCAACGAUCUGUGGCCAGUGCCUUAUUGAGAUGCCAAUCCUCUAUCAGACUGUAUUUUCAGGCUCGGUCAUGGCAGUUCGAUAUUUGAUUGAUGGUUCCUCGCUUCGCAGUCAGAACGUGUAAUCUAUUCCAUUUUUACAUGACGUCCGUUCUGCCUGUCUAGUAAAAGAGGUUGUCGAUGCAUCUGAACGAGAUUUCUUGAUGUGAGGUACUCCGUUUCGGUACAAUAGAGCAUACAUGAGAGCUUGGCUGUCACAUAUUAGAGCAUACAUGAGAGCUUGGCUGUCACAUAUUAGAGCAUACAUCAGAGCUUCGCUGUCACAUUCUUCAUACUACCUCCAUUUCGGCAUAAAGGGUUCAUGUGUAUUUUCUAGGUCGGUGAUUUAACUAAUGUGGCAGGAGUUUUAUAUCACAAAA